UCCCUACGGGAGGCAGCAGGCGCGAAAACUUUACAAUGCGGGAAACCGCGAUAAGGGGACACCGAGUGCCAGCAUCUUAUGUUGGCUGUCCGCAUGUAUAAAUCACAUGUGUUAGCAAGGGCCGGGCAAGACCGGUGCCAGCCGCCGCGGUAACACCGGCGGCCCGAGUGGUGGCCACUAUUGUUGGGUCUAAAGGGUCCGUAGCCGGUUUGGUCAGUCUUCCGGGAAAUCUGACGGCUUAACCGUUAGGCUUUCGGGGGAUACUACCAGGCUUGGGACCGGGAGAGGUAAGAGGUACUACGGGGGUAGGAGUGAAAUCUUGUAAUCCUUGAGGGACCACCAGUGGCGAAGGCGUCUCACCAGAACGGACCUGACGGCAAGGGACGAAAGCUAGGGGCACGAACCGGAUUAGAUACCCUAGUAGUCCC
rnacentral:rRNA from 1 species